rnacentral:lncRNA from 1 species
AUGGGUGAGGAAGAGUGGAGGAGGAGGUCCUAUUCAUAAAGGGAUAGAACCGUUGGAUUUGUAAAAUGUGUUGUGAAUCUGUGAGGAGAGAGAAAAUGAUGACACCAUCAAUGUCAAUAAGUCAAGGGAGACAUGACUCCUAAGGUGAUGGUAGUGGUGGCGGCAGCGGCGGCAGCGGCAGCAGCGGUAAGCUGGCAGUAGGUAGCGGUUGUAGGUCAGCGGCACAGGGCCUAAUGGGCUGCCUACAAUCCAAGUUUGCCGCACCCGCCCAGAUGGCGUCUUAACACAUGUGUAGGGUUGGGCUCUCGCCCGCGUAGGCAUCCUGUGCCUGUCUCAUUGCAUUGGCACGCGCAGAGU